AGCUUUCAAAGUGCACUUUAUAAGUAGUGCACUUUUAUAAUCCUUACUCAAAAUUGGUUGUUUCUUCACACAGCAGCGAGAGAAAACUUGGUUUGCUAGUUCAAUGAAGACAAGAUCGCAAUACUUAGGAGAGCCAUGGCCAGGGGUUCCCGUCGCAGAGGAUGAUCUCGAUCCAUCGACUGGCCCAGUUGACGCCUAUUGUCUUCUGACCCUUGAUCCAGAAAAGGUUGAUUAUGUGAACCUGAAAAGUAAUCAGAAGCUGAUGUUCAGAAGAACCCAGGAAGGAGAUCAUUCCAGUGACUGGAUUGCUGAAAAAGCUAGCCUCUAAUGGUGUCCUUUUUAGAUAGGGGGAAAAUAAAGGUGGUAUUGACUGCCACUAUUUUUAGUUGUGGAUUGUUCAUGGCAAGGAAUUGUCUUCAUUGUUCAUUUCCUUUUCUAGAAUGUCGUAAUGUAUUUUUGGCAGAGCAUCUGAGAGUCAAGGUAUGUACUUUAUCUGCAUGACAUUUCGUUGUGAACAUACAAGAUGGCUCUAAUUAUUAAAGAAGUUCA